CUCAAUAUGCAUCACAUUAUGCUUGUAAGGAACCAAUAGGAUUAGCUUCUAAGAGAACACCUAGACCUGGUAAGUGUUUCACAUAUUUUACCACUCUUAUAGCUGCAUUCAUAUGAGAUGAUUUCGUGGCCUGCAUGAAGACAAUAUAAGAUAUUCCUGGCCUUGUAAGUGUUAAUUACAACAACCUCCCAAUCGAUCUUUGAUAUUCA
rnacentral:lncRNA from 1 species